AUUCAACCGAUGAGUCCUGAAUAGGACGAAACAUGCGUCCUGGAU
rfam:Schistosoma rodhaini strain Burundi genome assembly, scaffold: SROB_scaffold0007561